rnacentral:rRNA from 1 species
AUACGUAGGGUGCGAGCGUUGUCCGGAAUUACUGGGCGUAAAGAGCUCGUAGGUGGUUUGUAGCGUCGUCUGUGAAAUUCCGGGGCUUAACUCCGGGCGUGCAGGCGCUACGGGCAUAACUUGAGUACUGUAGGGGAGACUGGAAUUCCUGGUGUAGCGGUGAAAUGCGCAGAUAUCAGGAGGAACACCGGUGGCGAAGGCGGAUCUCUGGGCAGUAACUGACGCUGAGGAGCGAAAGCAUGGUUAGCGAACAGGAUUAGAUACCCUGGUAGUCCAUGCCGUAAACGGUGGGCGCUAGGUGUAGGGGUCUUCCACGACUUCUGUGCCGUAGCUAACGCAUUAAGCGCCCCGCCUGGGGAGUACGGCCGCAAGGCUAAAACUCAAAUGAAUUGACGGGG